rnacentral:lncRNA from 1 species
GUCUAAAGAGAAUGACAUUUUGCCAAGGCCUAACUCUAUUGGGUAUGGCAGCAGUACUUCAUCCUCUGGCAGUCAGUCAUCAUCCUCUUCUGGCCGAGGGUCCCUCUCUCUCAACGGCUACCUUAGUGGCCAGUAUUGGAAAGGGACCAAAGGUCCUAUGGAAUCUCCAGCUCCCAGGACUUUGGAGGAGGAUGAUCUGGAUAAUGAAAAUGAGACGCAUUUGCUAAGUUAGUCUUCCUGUGAAUAAAAGUCAUGAAGCACUUGAUUUAAACUGCAACAGAAUGCAAUUUAGUUCAGGAGAACUAAAUGUCUUACUCAUUUUUUGUGCCACAGUUGGCAGCUCUGAAUCCUCUGGGGCCAGUGUGAGUGACUUUAGCAGCUCAGACCACAGCUGCCUGUCUGCGAUUGGUGGGGAGGUGGAGGACUCGUCGUCUGUGUCCUCAACAUUUCCCUUCAAAGCUGGCCAUGUCCAUAACACACAGCCCAGUUGCCAGAAGUGUGGUUCUCCUGAGCUGGGCCCAAAAAGACUCCCAACUGCUCCAAAUGCACAGAUUCUGUCAGUUUGGAAAAGUUAAAAGGAAGACAUGGACUGAAGUCUGAAAUGUCUGUUCAGCUGGUGACUUUGGGCCCACCAAAACUAAAGGUCUC